rnacentral:rRNA from 1 species
ACGAUAUGCUUUGGGGAGCUGUAAGUAAGCUUUGAUCCAGAGAUUUCCGAAUGGGGAAACCCAGCAUGAGUUAUGUCAUGUUAUCGAUAUGUGAAUACAUAGCAUAUCAGAAGGCACACCCGGAGAACUGAAACAUCUUAGUACCCGGAGGAAGAGAAAGAAAAUUCGAUUCCCUUAGUAGCGGCGAGCGAAACGGGAAGAGCCCAAACCAACAAGCUUGCUUGUUGGGGUUGUAGGACACUCUAUACGGAGUUACAAAGGACGACAUUAGACGAAUCAUCUGGAAAGAUGAAUCAAAGAAGGUAAUAAUCCUGUAGUCGAAAAUGUUGUCUCUCUUGAGUGGAUCCUGAGUACGACGGAGCACGUGAAAUUCCGUCGGAAUCUGGGAGGACCAUCUCCUAAGGCUAAAUACUCUCUAGUGACCGAUAGUGAACCAGUACCGUGAGGGAAAGGUGAAAAGCACCCCGGAAGGGGAGUGAAAUAGAACCUGAAACCGUGUGCUUACAAGUAGUCAGAGCCCGUUAAUGGGUGAUGGCGUGCCUUUUGUAGAAUGAACCGGCGAGUUACGAUUUGAUGCAAGGUUAAGCAGUAAAUGUGGAGCCGUAGCGAAAGCGAGUCUGAAUAGGGCGUUUAGUAUUUGGUCGUAGACCCGAAACCAGGUGAUCUACCCUUGGUCAGGUUGAAGUUCAGGUAACACUGAAUGGAGGACCGAACCGACUUACGUUGAAAAGUGAGCGGAUGAACUGAGGGUAGCGGAGAAAUUCCAAUCGAACCUGGAGAUAGCUGGUUCUCUCCGAAAUAGCUUUAGGGCUAGCCUCAAGUGAUGAUUAUUGGAGGUAGAGCACUGUUUGGACGAGGGGCCCCUCUCGGGUUACCGAAUUCAGACAAACUCCGAAUGCCAAUUAAUUUAACUUGGGAGUCAGAACAUGGGUGAUAAGGUCCGUGUUCGAAAGGGAAACAGCCCAGACCACCAGCUAAGGUCCCAAAAUAUAUGUUAAGUGGAAAAGGAUGUGGCGUUGCCCAGACAACUAGGAUGUUGGCUUAGAAGCAGCCAUCAUUUAAAGAGUGCGUAAUAGCUCACUAGUCGAGUGACACUGCGCCGAAAAUGUACCGGGGCUAAACAUAUUACCGAAGCUGUGGAUUGUCCUUUGGACAAUGGUAGGAGAGCGUUCUAAGGGCGUUGAAGCAUGAUCGUAAGGACAUGUGGAGCGCUUAGAAGUGAGAAUGCCGGUGUGAGUAGCGAAAGACGGGUGAGAAUCCCGUCCACCGAUUGACUAAGGUUUCCAGAGGAAGGCUCGUCCGCUCUGGGUUAGUCGGGUCCUAAGCUGAGGCCGACAGGCGUAGGCGAUGGAUAACAGGUUGAUAUUCCUGUACCACCUAUAAUCGUUUUAAUCGAUGGGGGGACGCAGUAGGAU